rnacentral:rRNA from 1 species
GCCUUCCUUUGUUGGAGCCAGCUCCUCUAAAAUGAAUUAGUAGGGUCUGCUUUGCCGAUCCUUGACGUGAUAAGAUGUUUUCUACGUCUUGGGUUUCGCACUGUUCGCUCUGGAUCCUGCUUCUAACUGUCUCAUAGAAACAAUGGUCAAGUGAUUGCCACUUGACCCACAAACCUUGACCUCAAAUCGGGUGAGACUACCCGCUGAACUUAAGCAUAUCAAUAAGCGGAGGA